UACGAAGGGGGCUAGCGUUGCUCGGAAUCACUGGGCGUAAAGCGCACGUAGGCGGAUUGCUAAGUCAGGGGUGAAAUCCUGGAGCUCAACUCCAGAACUGCCUUUGAUACUGGCGAUCUUGAGUCCGGGAGAGGUGAGUGGAACUGCGAGUGUAGAGGUGAAAUUCGUAGAUAUUCGCAAGAACAUCAGUGGCGAAGGCGGCUCACUGGCCCGGUACUGACGCUGAGGUGCGAAAGCGUGGGGAGCAAACAGG
rnacentral:rRNA from 1 species